rnacentral:snoRNA from 1 species
UGCUGCAGUGAUGACAUUUAUUUGCUACUCUUGACAAGAUGGAUGACGAUUCUUUCAACCACCAAGUUGAUAUCUGAGGCA